rnacentral:misc_RNA from 1 species
ACACCCUCAAGCUUUGCUUGGUGUUGGGCGUCUGUCCCUGCGGCCUGCCCGCCCGGACUCGCCUCAAAGGUAUUGGCAGCGGUCUUGCCGGGCCUCCUAAUUGCGCAGCACUGUUCGCGCUUCCUGGAGCCCGCGCGAAACCAGCGUCCAUCAAGCCCCAUCUUCUGA